UGGGGAUGUUGCUUUCGGGUUAAGAUGAGCCCUUCCUCAGUAUCUCCCCCAACCCCUGUGCUAACGAGUGAACCUAGAAAACCAAUGGUUGGGAACAUGUAGCCUUGGGAAUUGGUGUUGAAAUGCAGCAGCAGCCAUAUUGAGGAUUAUAGGAAGGAAGUGCUAUCACAUCAUAGGGAUUUUAAAAAGAUGGCAAUUUGGAUAAUUUACUUAGGUGAUCGUCAAGAUAUUGUCCAGCCUUGAGAAAAUGAAAGAAUUAUAGUUACAUCUUCUUUUGACUCCAAUGCCUCCUUAAAUCCAUUACCUGGGAAAGCACAGUUCAGAAAGAAGUCCCCCAAGAACUCACAAAAUGAGGAGAAAGAUAUGCAACCCAGGGACCUCCCACCAAUGAAUAAUUCAUAUUUAAGCAGUUUAGCCUAUUAUUAUGGGGCGAAUGAAAUCAUGUGAACAUUUAAUCAACAUAUCUUUUUAGGGGUACUCUAGGUUCAUUUUGCAUGUUGGCUGGGGUACGACAUUAUGAUUCCAUUGUUUUUAUACGUACUUGUAAGUAUUUUUUCCUUUUUUAAAUAUAGGACUUCAAAAUACUUCAGACUCAGAUAUGGCUAAAGAAUAACCUGUGGAAUCAGAUAUACCUGGAUUUGAAUUUGGGGGUGUAGAAGGCUGAGAAGAUGACGAAGCCUCUAAGGAAGCUAUUUUUGAAUGGCUUCCUGCUGAGAGACGGGCUUUGGGGAAGGUUCAUUUCAGGCCCAUUGUAGCUCCCCGCCUGUCUGCUGCAUUGCUUCUGCUGUUUACCCCCAUCUGCUGGGCCAGAACGAGACACGCGCCUUCCUCAGAGGCACAGGCGGCCCUGGUGGCCUUUUGUCCAAGCACGCACACUCAAGACACCACUGUGAUUUGGGAGGAAAGAAAGGAACGGAACAGAAAUAGGGCUUCUUGUUAAAGAAGGGAAAUGCUAUUUUCACUUCCAGCGUGUUUCUUCGUUGUUCCUCCUGGAGUCAGCUUUUCUUUAAC
ensembl:lncRNA